rnacentral:rRNA from 1 species
UUAAAUAGCUGCAGUAUAAAUAACUGUACAAAGGUAGCAUAAUAAUUAGUUUUUUAAAUGAAAACUUGUAUGAAUGAUUCGAUGAAAUAAAAACUGUCUCAAUUUAAAUAAAAUAACUUUUUUUUUAAGUAAAAAAACUUAAAUAAAAUUAAAAGACGAGAAGACCCUAUAGAAUUUUAUAUUUAAUUGGGGAGAUUUUAAAAUUAAAUAAACUUUUAAUUAAAUAAUCAUAUAUUCAUGAAUUAAAUAUAAUUAAUAAAAAAUUAAAAUUAAAUUACCUUAGGGAUAACAGCAUAA